UACGGAGGGUGCAAGCGUUGCUCGGAAUUACUGGGCGUAAAGGGCGUAUAGGCGGUUUCGUAUGUCUGGCGUGAAAGCCCCGGGCUCACCUCGGGAAGUGCGUCGGAAACUGCGAGACUAGAGUCCCGGAGAGGGAGGUGGAAUUCCAGGUGUAGCGGUGAAAUGCGUAGAUAUCUGGAAGAACACCGGUGGCGAAGGCGGCCUCCUGGACGGUGACUGACGCUGAGACGCGAAAGCGUGGGGAGCAAACAGG
rnacentral:rRNA from 1 species